rnacentral:rRNA from 1 species
UACGUAGGGUGCGAGCGUUAAUCGGAAUGACUGGGCGUAAAGGGUGCGCAGGCGGUUGGUCAAGACGGAUGUGAAAGCCCCGGGCUUAACCUGGGAGUGUCAUUCGUGACUGACGAACUAGAAUAUGGCAGAGGGAGGCGGAAUUCCACAUGUAGCAGUGAAAUGCGUAGAGAUGUGGAGGAACACCGAUGGCGAAGGCAGCCUUCUGGGCUGUAACUGACGCUGAUGCACGAAAGUGUGGGGAUCAAACAGG